GUUUUUUCCCCAAAUCUCUGCAAUCUGAGCAGUGACUCACCCCCCAGCUGGUGUGAAUCAGCACUGGGCUAACGAGCACAGAGCAACCAUGCUCAUUUAUGUCUCUGCCAGCACAGCCUACCUUUCUGGUGCCCCAGUACCAGAGCCACCAGUAGCUCCAGCUCAUGCAUUCUCCCUGAAGGCCACCAAGGAUGGGUUUGCUCAGGAUACAGCAGGGACUUCCAGGAAGCUCACAAUGAUCCCUUCUGGAUUUGAAAUCUGAGAGGAACCCGCAUUUGGAGAGUCUGGAAUGGAAAAGCAGCCCCCUCCUGCCUGGCCCAGGCUUCUGAAGCUGGAGCAUCAGGCCAGGUGGGAUUUACCACUUGCCAAUGUGUAACCUGGCAGGGCUGAGCCACUUGGAUACGAAUUCCUCCUCUUCUGAUGAAGACAGGGAGCCAGGCGGAGCACCGCAGCUUUCCCAGCAGCACUCAAUGGCAUGCCGUACCCCAGGGCGACUUGCGUUCCCUGCUGUGAAAAGCUGUAAAUUACACACCAAUAACUGCAUGGAAAUGGCUGGGCAAAUAUUUGGAGAGGGUGAGAAACUCUGUAGAAAUCACUGCUCUCGAGUCACUUAUGGAUGGGAAAAGGUGAACCGAAAACAUCGCCCUGGCACGUGAUCUGCUGGGCGUUAUUCAUCUUAACAGCACUGCUCCCUCUCUUCUUCCCCAUCCUUUCUUAUCUGCUUGCCCUCUUCACUCUUGCUAUGCAGUGGCUGAUGAAACCAUGGUUUCCAAAUGGAUUUAUUUUUUACCCUUCCAAAUUUCUAAUGGCAAUAAAAUACUUCAAAGGCAGAGGCAACUCAGAUGCCAGCUUCUAGCCUAGAGCUUACUUUUACAGCUCUGUAAUAAACCCCUCUAAGAGAAAUGUUUAUAAUGGCCUUGACCGUGGUGCUUGACUAUUGCAGUGCUUUCUGUCACCCUCAUAAUGUGAAGUGCCAAUAAAUCACCUGAACUGUU